GAAAUGCGAUAAGUAAUGUGAAUUGCAGAAUUCAGUGAAUCAUCGAAUCUUUGAACGCACCUUGCACCCUUUGGUAUUCCGAAGGGUACACCCGUUUGAGUGUCAUUGUAAUCUCACUACAAUCACUUUAUUGUCGUUUGUAUGUGGACCUGGAUGUUGCCGUGUAACAAACGGCUCGUCUGAAAUGCCUGAGUGUACCCUACUUUGCAGCGUAUUCGGUGUGAUAAAUCUUCACUGGAGUUGACUUUCGGGUCGCGUCUGCUUAACAUGGCUCUAUGCUUCCAACCGUCCUAACAAGACAACCUUUGACAAUUUGACCUCAAAUCGGGUGGGACUACCCGCUGAACUUAAGCAUAUCAAUAAGCGGAGGAAAAGAAACCAACAAGGAUUCCCCUAGU
rnacentral:rRNA from 1 species